rnacentral:rRNA from 1 species
AGGCUAUGAUCGUGGCUCAGAUUGAACGCUGGCGGCACGCUUAACACAUGCAAGUCGAACGGUAACAGGCUUUCGGGCGCUGACGAGUGGCGGACGGGUGAGUAAUGCAUGGGAAUCUGCCCUGUAGUGGGGGAUAACCCGGAGAAAUCCGGGCUAAUACCGCAUAGGUUCUACGGAACAAAGCGGGGUUCGGCCUCGCGCUAUAGGAUGAGCCCAUGUCCGAUUAGCUGGUUGGUAGGGUAACGGCUAACCAAGGCGACGAUCGGUAGCUGGUCUGAGAGGACGAUCAGCCACACUGGGACUGAGACACGGCCCAGACUCUUACGGGAGGCAGCAGUGGGGAAUUUUGCGACAAUGGGGCGAUACCCUGAUGCCAGUCCAUGCACGACUGUUGCGGAGGAAGUAAGGCCUUUCGGGUUGUAAACCUGCUUACUCGCGCAGUGCAUACGCAGAACGCGACGACGGCGACGACAUGAUCCAUCCGUGACGUCAAUGUACGGCUACCCUGCUAGUCAAUGAAGACAUUCCGGCCCUCACGAUA